rnacentral:rRNA from 1 species
UACGGGGGGGGCGAGCGUUGUUCGGAAUUACUGGGCGUAAAGGGCUCGUAGGCGGCCCACUAAGUCAGACGUGAAAUCCCCAGGCUCAACCUGGGAACUGCGUCUGAUACUGGAUGGCUUGAAUUCGGGAGAGGGAUGCAGAAUUCCAGGUGUAGCGGUGAAAUGCGUAGAUAUCUGGAGGAAUACCGGUGGCGAAGGCGGCAUCCUGGACCGACAUUGACGCUGAUGAGCGAAAGCUAGGGGAGCAAACGGG